rnacentral:rRNA from 1 species
AAAGGAAUAGACGGGGGCCCGCACAAGCAGUGGAUUAUGUGGUUUAAUUCGAAGCAACGCGAAGAACCUUACCAGGUCUUGACAUCGUGCGCAUACCAUAGAGAUAUGGGAAGCCCUUCGGGGCGCAUGGACAGGUGGUGCAUGGUUGUCGUCAGCUCGUGUCGUGAGAUGUUGGGUUAAGUCCCGCAACGAGCGCAACCCUUACGAUUAGUUGCUACGCGAGAGCACUCUAAUAGGACUGCCGUUGACAAAACGGAGGAAGGUGGGGACGACGUCAAAUCAUCAUGCCCCUUAUGACCUGGGCUACACACGUAAUACAAUGGCGGCAAACAACGGGCAGCAACGGAGCGAUCCCAAGCGAAUCCUCAAAAGCCGUCUUAGUUCGGAUUGCAGGCUGCAACUCGCCUGCAUGAAGUCGGAAUUGCUAGUAAUCGCGGAUCAGCAUGCCGCGGUGAAUACGUUCCCGGGCCUUGUACACACCGCCCGU